rnacentral:tmRNA from 1 species
GGGGGCGUUUUUUGGAUUCGACGGAGAUGGAUCGAGCGUCAGUAGCGAGCCGAGGGGCUGCGUACCUCGUAAAAACGCAGAACGCCAAAUGUAACUGGCAAACAACAAAACUACGCUCUGGCUGCUUAAUAAAGUUCAGCCAGGAUCCGCUGUACCAUCGCCCAUGUGGUGCAACCGGGUCUCACACUCAGUGGGCUAGCUGACCGGAACGUUACCGGCCGGAAAGCGAAACGAAGGUAACUCGCUGUUUGAUACGCCUGUCACUGGGCAGAUCAAACAGUUAAAUCCCAAAACAGUGACUGCGCUCGGAGAAGCUGGCGUGGCGAUGUCUUCGGACAGCGGUUCGACUCCGCUCGCCUCCACCA